AGAGUUUGAUCCUGGCUCAGAUUGAACGCUGGCGGCAUGCUUUACACAUGCAAGUCGAACGGUAACAGGUCUUCGGAUGCUGACGAGUGGCGAACGGGUGAGUAAUACAUCGGAACGUGCCUAGUAGUGGGGGAUAACUACUCGAAAGAGUAGCUAAUACCGCAUGAGAUCUACGGAUGAAAGCAGGGGACCUUUGGGCCUUGUGCUACUAGAGCGGCUGAUGGCAGAUUAGGUAGUUGGUGGGGUAAAGGCUUACCAAGCCUGCGAUCUGUAGCUGGUCUGAGAGGACGACCAGCCACACUGGGACUGAGACACGGCCCAGACUCCUACGGGAGGCAGCAGUGGGGAAUUUUGGACAAUGGGCGAAAGCCUGAUCCAGCAAUGCCGCGUGCAGGAUGAAGGCCCUCGGGUUGUAAACUGCUUUUGUACGGAACGAAAAGCCUGGGGCUAAUAUCCCCGGGUCAUGACGGUACCGUAAGAAUAAGCACCGGCUAACUACGUGCCAGCAGCCGCGGUAAUACGUAGGGUGCAAGCGUUAAUCGGAAUUACUGGGCGUAAAGCGUGCGCAGGCGGUUUUGUAAGACAGUGGUGAAGUCCCCGGGCUCAACCUGGGAACUGCCAUUGUGACUGCAAGGCUAGAGUGCGGCAGAGGGGGAUGGAAUUCCGCGUGUAGCAGUGAAAUGCGUAGAUAUGCGGAGGAACACCGAUGGCGAAGGCAAUCCCCUGGGC
rnacentral:rRNA from 1 species